GACGAACGCUCGCGGCGUGCUUAACACAUGCAAGUCGAACGGAAAGGCCCUGCUUGCAGGGUACUCGAGUGGCGAACGGGUGAGUAACACGUGGGUGAUCUGCCCUGCACUUCGGGAUAAGCCUGGUAAACUGGGUCUAAUACCGGAUAGGAGCCAUUUUUAGUGUGAUGGUUGGAAAGUUUUUUCGGUGUAGGAUGAGCUCGCGGCCUAUCAGCUUGUUGGUGGGGUAAUGGCCUACCAAGGCGGCGACGGGUAGCCGGCCUGAGAGGGUGGACGGCCACAUUGGGACUGAGAGACGGCCCAGACUCCUACGGGAGGCAGCAGUGGGGAAUAUUGCACAAUGGGCGCAAGCCUGAUGCAGCGACGCCGCGUGGGGGAUGACGGCCUUCGGGUUGUAAACUCCUUUCGCUAGGGACGAAGCUUUUUGUGACGGUACCUAGAUAAGAAGCACCGGCUAACUACGUG
rnacentral:rRNA from 1 species